rnacentral:rRNA from 1 species
UACGGGGGGGGCAAGCGUUGUUCGGAAUUACUGGGCGUAAAGGGCGCGUAGGCGGCCUGCUAAGUCACACGUGAAAUCCCUCGGCUCAACCGGGGAACUGCGUGUGAUACUGGCGGGCUCGAAUUCGGGAGAGGGAUGUGGAAUUCCAGGUGUAGAGGUGAAAUUCGUAGAUAUCAGGAGGAACACCGGUGGCGAAGGCGGCUUUCUGGACGACAACUGACGCUGAGACGCGAAAGCGUGGGGAGCAAACAGG